rnacentral:rRNA from 1 species
CCUACGGGAGGCAGCAGUAGGGAAUAUUAGUUAAUGUGCGAAAGCGCGAACUAGCAACGCCGCGUGUGCGAUGAAGGCCUUCGGGUCGUAAAGCACUUUUCUAAGGGAUGAGGAAGGACAGUACCUUAGGAAUAAGCAUCGGCUAACUACGUGCCAGCAGCCGCGGUAAAACGUAGGAUGCAAGCGUUAUCCGGAUUUACUGGGCGUAAAGCGCGUGUAGGCGGUUUGGUAAGUUGGAUGUGAAAGCUCCCGGCUUAACUGGGAGAGGUCGUUCAAUACUUGCUAAGCUUGAGGAUGGUAGAGGGAGGUGGAAUUCCGAGUGUAGUGGUGAAAUGCGUAGAUAUUCGGAGGAACACCAGUGGCGAAAGCGGCCUCCUGGACCAUUUCUGACGCUCAGACGCGAAAGCUAGGGUAGCAAACGGGAUUAGAGACCCCGGUAGUCCUAGCCGUAAACGAUGUAGACUUGGCGUCGGCGGGUUUAAAUCCGUCGGUGUCGAAGCUAACGCGAUAAGUCUACCGCCUGGGGACUACGGCCGCAAGGUUUAAACUCAAAGGAAUAGACGG